GUGAGUUGGAUAGCUGGCUUCGGAACCCUUGCGUUAAAUCGCAAAACGAUGAAAUGAUUGUUGAGUUCUGAGGAAGGUCCGGGCAUCGUGAAAAGCGAUCGGUUGAAAAGCCGAGUGUCGCGAGGCACAGCUCUGGAACAGAAACGCCACCGCUCUCUCAGAGAAAUGAACCAUGCGGGAAUCUACGAAGAGAGAGAUUGGAUGAAACGGCUAUCUUCGCUGAUGCAACCACCAAAGCCGUGGGCUUAGACAGAUGCCAGCACGAACCGUUUGUCUCGCAAGAGAAACAAGAUUCGACAGAACCCGGCCUAUUUCCGACUCAC
rnacentral:RNase_P_RNA from 1 species